rnacentral:rRNA from 1 species
CGUGGGGAAUCUGCCUUUGAGCGGGGGACAACCUUUGGAAACGAAUGCUAAUACCGCAUAAAAACUUUAAACACAAGUUUUAAGUUUGAAAGAUGCAAUUGCAUCACUCAAAGAUGAUCCCGCGUUGUAUUAGCUAGUUGGUGAGGUAAAGGCUCACCAAGGCGAUGAUACAUAGCCGACCUGAGAGGGUGAUCGGCCACAUUGGGACUGAGACACGGCCCAAACUCCUACGGGAGGCAGCAGUAGGGAAUCUUCGGCAAUGGACGAAAGUCUGACCGAGCAACGCCGCGUGAGUGAAGAAGGUUUUCGGAUCGUAAAACUCUGUUGGUAGAGAAGAACGUUGGUGAGAGUGGAAAGCUCAUCAAGUGACGGUAACUACCCAGAAAGGGACGGCUAACUACGUGCCAGCAGCCGCGGUAAUACGUAGGUCCCGAGCGUUGUCCGGAUUUAUUGGGCGUAAAGCGAGCGCAGGUGGUUUAUUAAGUCUGGUGUAAAAGGCAGUGGCUCAACCAUUGUAUGCAUUGGAAACUGGUAGACUUGAGUGCAGGAGAGGAGAGUGGAAUUCCAUGUGUAGCGGUGAAAUGCGUAGAUAUAUGGAGGAACACCGGUGGCGAAAGCGGCUCUCUGGCCUGUAACUGACACUGAGGCUCGAAAGCGUGGGGAGCAAACAGGAUUAGAUACCCUGGUAGUCCACGCCGUAAACGAUGAGUGCUAGAUGUAGGGAGCUAUAAGUUCUCUGUAUCGCAGCUAACGCAAU